AUACAUCUAAAUAUGUUGCACUCCUAGACAGAGAAGAUGGAUUCAUGGCAGAUAGGAAGAGUCAACAUAUACAGCCCAGAUAUGUUCCACUCCUACCCAAUGAAUAUGGUUUCAUGGUAGAUGCACAUUAGGAUGUUUAACAUAUUCAACCUUUAUGAUGUUUCAGUAGUAGAAGGUGCAGCAUGGCAGCAGAAGAUGUUAAAUUGAGAAUCGUGAAGAGACAGUUUAAUUCUUUAGAGAAUAAAUAAGAUUAUAGUUUAUAGAUGAAGAUUAAAAAAAUCUUGAAUGUUCAAAAUAUCAGAUGAGAAUUUGCCAAGUGCCCUCAAUAUGUCUACAAUGAUAUAACAAUCAUAAUUAAAAAUGUAUUGUAAACCUCUUUUUCAAUAUUCAUAUUAAAGAAAGUAGAUUGUCAAUUUAGAUAUUUACUUAUUUACCUGAAUUUUUUAUUAAGUAAUUUGGACAAUAUGACUUUAUUUAGAUUUUUUGAAAUUCAAGUUCAAAAUGUAUAUACAUCAGAUAGUUUUGGUUUGCCAGCAACUUCCAUUGUAUACUAGCCAAAAGAUCAAUUGUUGGUUGUAAUUAAGGCCAGCUCUAAAUAAGAUCUUAAAAUAGAAACUAUCUUCAAAUUUGACAAGUUACCAUAUCUACAUAUGAAUAAAUUAGAAUAGUCUGUAAAUAUUCUGUAUUUUCCUUUUUGCAUCAUCUUUUGAGUAACCAAAUCAGAACACCCAGUUUGGUGAAAUACUUGUUCCUGUUAUAUCUAUCAUUGCUUUUGUAAGAUAAAAACAAAAAUGUAUAUGCAGUUUUGUUAAAUAUAUUUAAAUUAAAAAUUAAAAAAAAAAUCAAAUUCAAAUUAGCACAAACAAAAUUGACUUUAACUUAUGGUUUAGUUUAUGCACCCUUUAAUGUAUAUCUUAAAAGUUUUGUUGUGGACUAAGCAAAUAUCAAAUUAUCAUUUCAGAAGUACAUUUUGCUUGCAUGGUAUCAUCUUCACUAACAUUUAACAUAGUGGGUUUCGGAGUUACUGAGGUAGUUCUUAUUGAGGUGUUUCUUGUUUUUUUCUAUGGAGGAAUCAGUGGUUUCUAUGUCUUCAGGAUAUGGUUCUGUCAUUCAAAGGGAACUGUCAAUGUAAUUCUGAAAUGAUAUACAUUUGGUAUUUUAUUGUCAUUGAAAAAGAAACAGUAUCAGUGCAUGAACAUUUGAACUGUGAAUAUAUAAUAUUUAAACUUUAUAAUUUAUAAUUUUUAAAUCGAUUUUGGAAAGUUAUUGUAUCAAAAUUAAAUUGUAUUUGACACAGUUUGAUGGAUGGAAAUUGAAAAUUAGAAAAACUUUGAAAACAAAAUUCCAAAUAUAAAUUUCUGCUUCAUUAAAACAUUUGGUUAAAUGGAUCUGCAAAAUCACUGAUAGCUAACAUGGUUAAUCCACUUAAUUAGAUAGUGUCGUUAAGUAUAGUCUAAUGGAUCCUGUUGAUAUCCUAUUAAAAGUAUUAAUGUAUUAUGAAUUAUAUUCCUAAAUCUAACAUGUCAGACGCGAGAGACCCCCCUUUGUUAUAGAGGGAUCGCCCUUGCAUCAGUGUCUUACAAAUUGUACUGUAAUAUACUGAACUAUAGAUUAGCUCAGUGGGUAGAUGAUAACAAUGUACUGGUUGAGGAACAGAAUGGUUUAUGACAACUUUGUAGUACAAUAGACCAAUUAUCUACUCUUACUAAUUUGAUAAAUGUGAGAAAAACACUUCCUAAAUCAAUCUUUUGCGCCUUUAUAUUGAUUUUAAAAAGGCUUACGACACUACACAGAGAUAUUUUAUGGUAUAAACUAGAUAAAAUUGGUGUUGCACAGACUUUUUGUUCUGCUAUUAAGUCAAUUUAUACAAAUGUUCUGUAAGAAUAAACGAUCAUUUCACAGACUGGUUUGAUGUAAACACUGGCUUGAAACAAGGAUGUCCCUUGUCGCUCAUUUUGUUCAACUUGUAUAUUAAUGAUUGAGUAACAUUUCUUAAGUCCUUUGACUGCGGAAUAGAUAUUGGUGAUGAAAAACUGUAUUUUAUUAUAUGCUGAUGAUGUUAUUAUAGCAAACGAUGAAAAAGAGCUACAACUUUUGGUAAAUGCUUUUUCUACAUGAUUUGAAGACAAUUGUAUGACAAUUAAUACAAACAAGAGUGACAUUGUACAAUUUAGACCACCAUCUAUACCUAGAUAUGAUGUAAUUUUUAAUUGUAAUGGUCAUACUAUAAAGUCUUCUAGUAAUGAUACUUGGUCUCAUUUUAAACAAGCAUUUAGACUAUAAUAUCACUGCAAAAGCCGUUGCAUCUUCAGCAAAUAGAACUUUAAGGAUGGUAAUAGCCAAGUGUAAACUUUAAGGGGGUGUUUGUUUCGAUGUAUUUGUAAAAUUAUAUGAAAGUUUGGUUUGUCCUAUAAUAGAAUAUGAAAAGGUAUAUGGGGUGUAAAAAGAUAUUCUUGUAUAAAUUCCAUACAUAAUGGGGCCUGUAGAUUUUCUAGAAGUAGAAAAAUAUGCACCAAAUGCUGCAGUUACUGGAGACUUGGGUAUUAUUGUAUUAUACGUUGAUAAUUUUAUUUUAUAUUGCAUUUUGAUUUGUCAAUACACACGUUUUAAGGUGUAGGUCAGAGCACCUGACCCUGGAGACGGGAUUGCGCACUUGGCAUCCACUGACACAGGUUUCUAGAGCUUUUUGAUCGAUUAUAUCGUUUUUUAUCUCUAGUUGUUCCUGGCCGGCCUUGACUGUCUAUGAAGGGGUGCAUUUAGUCAAAAGUUGGUUUUGGUGUAUUUUGGAAAAUCAUGGAA